rnacentral:rRNA from 1 species
GACGAACGCUGGCGGCGUGCUUAACACAUGCAAGUCGAACGGAAAGGCCCUGCUUUUGUGGGGUGCUCGAGUGGCGAACGGGUGAGUAACACGUGAGUAACCUGCCCUUGACUUUGUGAUAACUUCAGGAAACUGGGGCUCAUACCCGAUAGGAGCUCCUGCUGCAUGUGGUGGGUUGGAAAGUUUCGGCGGUUGGGGAUGGACUCGCUGGUUAUCAGCUUGUUUGUGGGGUAGUUGCUGACAAAGGCUUUGACGGGUAGCCCGCCUGAGAGCGGGACCGGCCACCUUGGGACUGAGGUACGGACCAGAAUCCUACGGGAGGCAGUAGGCGGGAAUAUUGCACAAUGGGCGGAAGCCUGAUGCAGCAGCCCCGCGUGCGGGAUGCCCGCUUUCGAGUUGUAAACCGAUUUCGCCUGUGACGAAGAGUGAGUGACGGUAAUGGGUAAAGAAGCACCGGCUAACUACGUG